GACGAACGCUGGCGGCGUGCCUAACACAUGCAAGUCGAGCGAUGAAAUCCUUCGGGAUUGAUUAGCGGCGGACGGGUGAGUAACACGUGGGUAACCUGCCUCAAAGAGGGGAAUAGCCUUCCGAAAGGAAGAUUAAUACCGCAUAAUAUGUUUUGGUCGCAUGACCGAGACAUCAAAGGAGCAAUCCGCUUUGAGAUGGACCCGCGGCGCAUUAGCUAGUUGGUGAGGUAACGGCUCACCAAGGCGACGAUGCGUAGCCGACCUGAGAGGGUGAUCGGCCACAUUGGAACUGAGACACGGUCCAGACUCCUACGGGAGGCAGCAGUGGGGAAUAUUGCGCAAUGGGGGAAACCCUGACGCAGCAACGCCGCGUGAAUGAUGAAGGCCUUCGGGUUGUAAAGUUCUGUCUUCUGGGACGAUAAUGACGGUACCAGAGGAGGAAGCCACGGCUAACUACGUGCCAGCCGCCGCGGUAA
rnacentral:rRNA from 1 species